rnacentral:rRNA from 1 species
UACGUAGGGCGCAAGCGUUGUCCGGAAUUAUUGGGCGUAAAGAGCUCGUAGGCGGCCAGUUGCGUUCCGCUGUGGAAAUCCCGGGGCUUAACCCCGGGCGUGCAGUGGAUACGGGCUGGCUAGAGGCAGGCAGGGGAGAACGGAAUUCCCGGUGUAGCGGGUGAAAUGCGCAGAUAUCGGGAGGAACACCGGUGGCGAAGGCGGUUCUCUGGGCCUGUACUGACGCUGAGGAGCGAAAGCGUGGGGAGCAAACAGG